rnacentral:rRNA from 1 species
CCUACGGGUGGCAGCAGUGAGGAAUAUUGGUCAAUGGACGGAAGGCUGAACCAGCCAAGCCGCGUGAAGGACGAAGGUGCCAAGCAUUGUAAACUUCUUUUGUCAAGGGACAAAAUCAGGCUCGAGAGCCUGACCGAGGGUACGUGAAGAAAAAGCAUCGGCUAACUCCGCGCCAGCAGCCGCGGUAAUACGGAGGAUGCGAGCGUUAAGUGGAAUUACUGGGCGUAAAGCGAUCGUAGGCGGUAUGACAAGUCAAGGGUGAAAGCCCCGCGCUCAACGGGGGAACUGCCUUUGAAACUGGCAAACUUGAGUGUGUGAGAGGAUAGUGGAAUUCCAGGUGUAGGGGUGAAAUCCGUAGAUAUCUGGAGGAACAUCAGUGGCGAAGGCGACUAUCUGGCACAUAACUGACGCUGAGGAGCGAAAGCGUGGGUAGCAAACAGGAUUAGAUACCCCGGUAGUC